rnacentral:rRNA from 1 species
UAGGGAAUAUUGGACAAUGGGCGCAAGCCUGAUCCAGCCAUCCCGCGUGCAGGAAGAAGGCCCUCAGGGUUGUAAACUGCUUUUGUCAGGGAAGAAACCCCGUGAUUGAUCAUGGGCUGACGGUACCUGACGAAUAAGCACCGGCUAACUCCGUGCCAGCAGCCGCGGUAAUACGGAGGGUGCGAGCGUUAUCCGGAAUCACUGGGUUUAAAGGGUGCGUAGGCGGCCUGGUAAGUCAGGGGUGAAAGUCUGCCGCUUAACGGUAGAAUUGCCUUUGAUACUGUCAGGCUUGAAUGGGCGCGAGGCAGGCGGAAUGUGGCAUGUAGCGGUGAAAUGCAUAGAUAUGCCAUAGAACACCGAUUGCGAAGGCAGCUUGCCAGAGCUCGAUUGACGCUGAGGCACGAAAGCGUGGGGAGCAAACAGGAUUAGAUACCCUGGUAGUCCACGCCCUAAACGAUGCUUACUCGAUGUUCGGCCAAUAUGGUUGAGCGUCCAAGCGAAAGCGCUAAGUAAGCCACCUGGGGAGUACGCCGGCAACGGUG